AGGAGAGUCGCAAGUCGUCACUCGUAUCGUAGCGCUGAUGAAGUGCGUACGACUUUUUGUCAGUUGUGUGGGUAUCGGCAAGUGUUAAGUGUGUAAAAUUGAUCUGUUGAAAAAGAAACAAAGUUAAUUGCCAAAAAUGGGUGGAUACGCUUGGGUUACAUUGGCCACGAAUGAUGCUUAUUCUUUAGGAGCUCUAGUUUUAGCACAUUCUUUACGUCGAGUUGGUACCAAACAUGAAUUGGCUGUUUUAGUUACUCCAGGAGUAACGGAAACAAUGAGGGACAAAUUGUCAGCAGUUUUUUCUGUAGUAAUGGAAGUAAAUGUACUUGAUUCAAAAGAUGAAGCUAAUUUGGCACUUUUAGCUAGACCAGAAUUGGGUAUUACAUUUACUAAAUUGCAUUGUUGGAGAUUAACUCAAUAUGAGAAAUGCGUUUUUCUCGAUGCAGAUACCCUUGUUGUUAGAAAUUGUGAUGAAUUAUUUGAAAGAGAAGAACUAUCUGCUGCCCCGGAUGUGGGUUGGCCUGACUGUUUCAAUUCUGGUGUAUUUGUAUACAGACCAUCGCAACAAACUUUUGCUUCUAUUACUGCCUUUGCUGCUGCUAAAGGUUCAUUUGAUGGUGGUGACCAAGGUUUACUAAAUAUGUAUUUUAGUGAUUGGGCACAUAAAGACAUUUCUAAACAUCUACCAUUUAUUUAUAAUAUGUGCUCUACCGCUGUAUACUCAUAUCUUCCUGCUUUCAAACAAUUUGGGGAUGAUGUUAGAAUAAUACAUUUUAUUGGUAUUACAAAACCAUGGUUACAGUAUUUUGAUACGUUAACUGGUAUUGUUCAACCACCAGUGGAUUCUGUACAUUUGCAGCCAUUGUUACAAUUAUGGUGGAACAUCUUUUGUGAAAAAGUGCAUCCCCAGUUAUCACCUGUUAUGGCCACCAGCACAUUGGCUCCAAUUUGGCACAAAUUUUCUCCUAUACCGUUUGAAUCCUUUAUUCCAAAAAGUCCUAUUUAUGCAGAAGUACAAGACAAAACACAGAGUGAUAUCCAUUUAGGAUCAGCAGAUUUUUCAGAGUUUAAGGAUCCGUGGGAAAACUACUGUGUAGAGGAUAACAAGAUUGAACAGUAUUAUUCAACAAUUGACAACUCUUCAUCUAUAUCUGUGUUAAAUGAUGAAUAUAACUAUUUAAAUUCUGUUCAACAUAUUUGCGAAUCACGCCCUGAACAUAAUAGAGAAAUGUAUCAUAAUCAAGAGUACAAUGAAUAUAAUAAUACUCCAUCACAUACUCAACAUUAUCAUAAUCAAGAACAAUAUAACGAAUUCAUUAAUGAAAAUGAACAGCACUCUUUUUUCCAUUCUAAAGACAUUUCUAAAGAUCAAUCAGAUAAUUGGCAAAGUCAAUGUAGUAUUGAAAAAUAUAUACCUGUACAUAGUACUCCAAAUUAUUAUUCUAGUGAAUCUCAACAUCAACAUACUGAUUCUCAAUAUAUUUCUCAAAGUUUGUUUGAAAAUAGUAACAAAUCAUUAUCAAAAGAAGUAAAUAAUCAACAUAAUAGAUCUUAUGUUGACCAUCAAAGUAAUCAUUAUCACAUGUACGAUAAUAUCAAUACUAAACAAAGUAUACAUCAUGAGCAAAAAAAUCAAAAUUUUUAUUGCAACGAACAGAUUAAUUUAGAAUUGACAAAACAGAAAUCCUUAAAUGUUAAACUUGAUCAUGAUCAAGCUGUAAAAAAUAAUAUAAUUUGUCAAAAUAAUCUUCCAGCUAUUGAACAAAAUAUUGAGCAAAAUGUUGAACAAAAUGAAAACAAAUAUAUCACAGACAAACAGACUGUUACACCGAUAUCUACUAUUCCUUAUCCUGUUUCCAAACCUUGUACAGAUUUCCAUAAUGUAGCAUCGCAAUCUGACUCACACAUAAUGGAAGAUAUAAACAAUUCAAAUGCUGGUCUUGCUGGUGCAUUAGCUCAGAUGACAUUAGGUGAACCCAGAAGUGCUGAACAAAUUGCAUUAGAAGAACAUAUGCGGAAACAAAGUUGGGAACAGGGACACAUUGACUAUAUGGGCCGUGAUAGUUUUGAUAAUAUUUGGAAGAAGAUCUGUGAAACACUUGCUCUUGCACCUCCGCGAUUACCAUCUCCUCCAAAAGAAACAGCGAAAGUUGCGGAAACUACAACUAAUAAGACUGUUGAAUCUAUUAAAUCGACUGAGGCUAUUGAACAAAUUGAAUCUACAGAUGAAGUGGAUGCAAAAGCUGGAACGGAGGACAGCAACUAACAGAUCCUGGCGCCAUAGCAUUGCUACGUCUUGUAAUGUCGUUUUGCUUUAAUGGGCUCAGGUGACAACCAUUCGUACUGAAGAACAAUCUCUAGUUAACAAUGUUCCUAUAACAGACAGUAAAACUAUGAUACCUAAAUCAGCAGAGAAGGACGAACAAGCUAUUAAUACAAUAUCUUCGGUCACAAAAAACGGGAAAGAAUUAUCAGUAUCAGAAGAAACAACAAUCAAUAGUCUUAAAAUGUUUGAAAUAAAAUCAGAAAACAAAGCAUA
rnacentral:misc_RNA from 1 species